GCCCGAGGGAUGGAGGCCGCGCUCGGCUGCGCUCAGGUCCGGGUGGCUCCGGGAGCUGAGACCCCGCAGGAUGCAGCGGGGGGGGGCCAGGGCCUGAUCCCCUACCCCUGCGAGCCAGGGCCGCCUACGCCCCCACUGCUUCCCACAGGCUACUAGACGCAACAAUAGAAUUACCAUAUUGUUUUUCCUGGUUUGAAAGGACCAGAUGGAAAGAAACUGGGCAAGCCAAUGAAAGUCUCUGGGGAUCAUGGGAAUUGAGUGUCUAUGAAAACCAUAUUCCAGACAAGAAUAUAGUCUAAGGACACAGCAAGAGGCAACAUUUUGGAAGCAGAGGGCAACUCUCACUGGAAACCAAAUCUCCUGGCACCUUGAUCUUGGAUUUUACAGCCUCCAGAACUCUGGGAGGCAUUACAUAGUCAUGUGCGAGGUCAAAACUGAGUCACCACCACAACCAAGUUCCAGCUGGCAAGAAGAGGAAAAAUAACACAGAGGAGUUAUGACCAGUGUUGUAAGGAUCUGGCCUAGAAAUGGCAUGCAUCUCUUCCACUAAUAUCCUAUUGGUAAAAAUGUAGUCACAUGGGCACACCACCUAUCUGCAUGGAAGGCUGGGAAAUGUUGAUCGGUAGGGCAGCCAUAUGUGUAGGAAGGAGAAAACAGAAUUUGGUGGAUACCUAGUAGUCUCUGCCAUACCCUUGACCAGAAAUUUUUCUUCUAAAGAAUUUAAUUCUAAAAGUUAUAGACAUUCCCAAAGAUAUACCUGCAAGCAUCACAGCUUUGUGUAUAAUUGCAAAAGUUGAAAUCAACAUGAAUGCCCAAAAUAGUGAAUUAUUUAAACAGAUUAUUACCCAUAUUAUGAAGAAAUACUCUGCAACUCUUAAAAAUAAAUGUAAUGUGCCAGGCGCAAUGGGAUAUGCCUGCAGGCCCAGCUACACGGGAGGCCAAGGCAGGAGGAUCACUUGAAAUCAAGAGUUCAAGUCUAGCCUAGACAACAUAGUGAGACUUGGUCUCUAAAAAAGAAAAAAAAAAAUAAAACUGAUGUAAUGAAUAUAUAAUUACAACAAAAGAGGUCUAACACUAUAGUAGAAAAGUUUGGGGCACUCAUCCCAUUCAUAAUUAUUUUACAUUUAAAUUACUGUUCCUACUUAAGUGGUGAGCUUGGUAACCAUUUUCAUAUCAGGUGAUACUGCUGCAGUAAUCAUAGCUGUUUGAAUCAGGAAUAAUCCCAAUCACAUUUUCUCUUAAUCGUUUAUUAUACUGGGCAUUGGGGUUGCAAGAUAAUGCACAGUCCGAGCUCAAUACAUGUCUUCAUGUACCUGUAUGUAAAUCCCACUUUUAUUCUAAAAUUCUUUGAAUAUUUUGUUUCUUGGAACCCAAUGAUCCUAAGAAAAUUAUGUACUUUUACCUGAAAAUUAAAACCAAUAUUUAUAAAAAGUGUAUAUGCAGUAUGAUACCACUUUUAAAAAAAGAUAAAUUUAUAGAAAAAAGUUUAUAUGACUGACAACAAUGUCUCUGAGUGGUAGGAUUACAGUUAAUUUUUAUUUUCUUCAUUCUACUUAUCUUUAUUUUCUGAACUUUCUACAAUGAACAUGUUUUAUUUUUACUUUUGUUAAAAUAAAUAAC
ensembl:lncRNA WDFY3-AS2 WDFY3 antisense RNA 2